UGCAUAACGUUCGGGAGGGCACGGUCGCCGUGCGCGGAGCGGGCGGAGGGGCAGGGGUACCGGGCCUGCUCUCUCGGGCGGGAGCCCACCGCCGCUUACAUAACGGAGGCGACUGGGCCGGCACCUGGCGGGCAGCGCCGCGUGCUCAGUUCGCCCUCAACCCUCCCUCGUAGCGGCCGAGACUUCGGGCUUACGUUGGGGGAGCGGCCCGGUGGUGUGUCGUUUCUAAUACCGCGAUUCCCAACCCCUUUGCGGAGCCCCGCUUGAGCCCCGGGUCUCCAUUGAUAGUUGCCUCCAGUUCGGGUUUCUCUGGCUGGACGAACGGUUGCGAAGGGUCCCAGUCCACAGAGGGUUAGGGGGGAUGUAGAGUUGGCGCCUAACAAACUUUCUUGGAGCAAUUUCUAAGAACUCGGAAGUUGGGAGGGUCGUUGAAUGUUUGGAGACGACUUAGUUAAAAAUAGGUCUGCCUGGCCGGGUAACUCUGCCAUAACCGGUUUAGCCCUCAGCUCUAGAAGAACAUCCUUCCAUAUGUCUCCAGCUCAGACUUGGCCCCGUGUGCUUGAGAGAUCCAGUACAGACAACCUUAGUGAGGUGCCAAGGCUCUGGUAGGCAGGGCAAGAACUGGACCCAGGUCUCUACUGCUUCUCCCUGCUGGGGGUGAGACAAAGUUCAGAGGUGAGCUAUGCCUGAGGAAAGAGAAGUAGUUAUGGGAUGUCGAGUUGUGGAGCCUUCUGGUAUGUCUUAUUCCCUGAGAGUUGGGGCUCCAUGAACAAGCCCCUCUGAUUUUUGGUGGCCUUUGGAUAUAGGAUAGCCCUUGGAGUAGAUAUAUACCAUCCAUUUUCUUUUCAUUAUGAGGCAGGACAGAGAGGCAAUUUCUUUCUCUAUUGAAUCCUUUUGAGAUGAAGUUGUAAAUGGGUCUCAAAAAGGGACCCCAACACUUGGGUUGGUUGUGACACUUAAGAGGGGAACACCAGGCUAUCACCUCUAAGUCAUUCCCCUUGACUCCCAAAAGGACUAAACUGAGUCGUGGUCUUCCUCACCCCCAGUUC